rnacentral:rRNA from 1 species
UACGUAUGGGGCAAGCGUUAUCCGGAUUUACUGGGUGUGAAGGGAGCGUAGACGGCGAUGCAAGCCAGAUGUGAAAGCCCGGGGCUCAACCCCGGGACUGCAUUUGGAACUGUGUGGCUGGAGUGUCGGAGAGGCAGGCGGAAUUCCUAGUGUAGCGGUGAAAUGCGUAGAUAUUAGGAGGAACACCAGUGGCGAAGGCGGCCUGCUGGACGACGACUGACGUUGAGGCUCGAAAGCGUGGGGAGCAAACAGG